GUGGCACAACUAUUCCUAUGGUUCUAUGACACCAUAUGGAAUGUUUUUACUGACUAGCUCUGGGAAUGGAUCAAUCAAGAAGCUGGAAAUCUAUGGCCAUUCCUACCUGCAUCCUUAUUUUCUUUGGGCAAAUGGUUAAGGACUUGAGGAAGAGACUAAAUCUGAUAAGGGGAAUUGAUCUUCCACCAUACUUCCCCAAGAGAUCUCCAAGGAAGCAUUCACUGAGGGCACAGCUCUGAACUAAAUGGUUAACUACCUCUUAAAGCAGAUCUCUGAUACCAUGAUGGAGACAUGAAACUUGGUAUGUCACUCUACAGUCUUCAAAAGUCUGAAAGAUUCAAGAUCAUUUGAGACUGUUCUGUACAAAAGAGCCUUAAAGGUUUUUUAGAGAUAAAAUGAGUCAACCAAAAGCCAAUACACUUAUAAGUUACUAAGCAUACAUGUAUUUGUAACAUGCUGCACAAA